rnacentral:rRNA from 1 species
CUGGGCUAGAAUGCCUCUGACAGCCUGAGAGAUCAGGUCUCCUGGGUAAAACCAGGCAGAGUGCAAGGUGCUGCAUGGUUGUCGUCAGCUCGUGUCGUGAGAUGUUGGGUUAAGUCCCGCAACGAGCGCAACCCUUGGUUCUAGUUGCCAGCAUUGAGUUGGGCACUCUAGAGCGACUGCCGGCGACAAGUCGGAGGAAGGUGGGGAUGACGUCAAAUCAUCAUGCCCCUUAUGACCUGGGCUACACACGUGCUACAAUGGAUGGUACAAAGGGUUGCGAAGCCGCGAGGCAGAGCUAAUCCCAGAAAACCAUUCUCAGUCCGGAUUGCAGGCUGCAACUCGCCUGCAUGAAGCCGGAAUCUCUAGUAAUCGCGGAUCAGCAUGCCGCGGUGAAUACGUUCCC